AGCUCUGUAGCGUAAUGGUUAUCGCGCUCGCCUCGUAAGCGAGAUGACCCGGGUUCGACUCCUCGGUGGGGCGA